rnacentral:rRNA from 1 species
CAGCCGCCGCGGUAAUACGGAGGGUGCAAGCGUUAAUCGGAAUUACUGGGCGUAAAGCGUGCGCAGGCGGUUUGUUAAGACAGAUGUGAAAUCCCCGGGCUCAACCUGGGAACUGCAUUUGUGACUGGCAAGCUAGAGUAUGGCAGAGGGGGGUGGAGUUCCGCGUGUAGCAGUGAAAUGCGUAGAUAUGCGGAGGAACACCAGUGGCAAAGGCGACUCUCUGGUCUGUAACUGACGCUGAGGAGCGAAAGCGUGGGGAGCAAACAGGAUUAGAUACCCGAGUAGUCCCUGUCUCUUAUAA